rnacentral:rRNA from 1 species
CCUACGGGUGGCAGCAGUGGGGAAUAUUUGACAAUUUGUUUAACCCUGAUCCAGCUACUCCUCGUGAGUGAAGAAGUAUUUCUGUAUGUAAAGCUCUAUCAGCAGGGAAGAAAGAAAUGACGGUACCUGACUAAGAAGCCCCGGCUAACUACGUGCCAGCAGCCGCGGUAAUACGUAGGGGGCAAGCGUUAUCCGGAUUUACUGGGUGUAAAGGGAGCGUAGACGGCGAUGCAAGUCUGAAGUGAAAGGCGGGGGCCCAACCUCCGGACUGCUUUGGAAACUGUAUGGCUGGAGUGCAGGAGAGGUAAGUGGAAUUCCUAGUGUAGCGGUGAAAUGCGUAGAUAUUAGGAGGAACACCAGUGGCGAAGGCGGCUUACUGGACUGUAACUGACGUUGAGGCUCGAAAGCGUGGGGAGCAAACAGGAUUAGAUACCCCAGUAGUC